GAUGAACGCUGGCGGCGUGCCUAAUACAUGCAAGUCGAGCGAACAGAUGAGGAGCUUGCUCCUCUGACGUUAGCGGCGGACGGGUGAGUAACACGUGGAUAACCUACCUAUAAGACUGGGAUAACUUCGGGAAACCGGAGCUAAUACCGGAUAAUAUAUUGAACCGCAUGGUUCAAUAGUGAAAGACGGUUUUGCUGUCACUUAUAGAUGGAUCCGCGCCGCAUUAGCUAGUUGGUAAGGUAACGGCUUACCAAGGCAACGAUGCGUAGCCGACCUGAGAGGGUGAUCGGCCACACUGGAACUGAGACACGGUCCAGACUCCUACGGGAGGCAGCAGUAGGGAAUCUUCCGCAAUGGGCUAAAGCCUGACGGAGCAACGCCGCGUGAGUGAUGAAGGUCUUCGGAUCGUAAAACUCUGUUAUUAGGGAAGAACAAAUGUGUAAGUAACUAUGCACGUCUUGACGGUACCUAAUCAGAAAGCCACGGCUAACUACGUG
rnacentral:rRNA from 1 species